GACAGAGGGUGCAAACGUUGUUCGGAUUUACUGGGCGUAAAGGGUGCGUAGGUGGCGGGGUAAGUCUGGAGUGAAAGCCCGGGGCUCAACCCCGGAGGGUCUCUCGAAACUGCCGAGCUAGAGUGCGGAAGAGGCAAUCGGAAUUCCCAGUGUAGCGGUGAAAUGCGUAGAUAUUGGGAAGAACACCGGAGGCGAAGGCGGAUUGCUGGGCCGACACUGACGCUGAGGCGCGAAAGCCAGGGGAGCAAACGGG
rnacentral:rRNA from 1 species